rnacentral:tRNA from 2 species
GUGCCGUCCUCCGGCGGUGCCGGCUCCGGUUCGGGCUCGGGGCGGCGCGCGGUGGCGAGCAGCGUGUCCGUUUCCACGCGGCGGCGCU